rnacentral:rRNA from 1 species
AUUGAACGCUGGCGGCAUGCCUUACACAUGCAAGUCGAACGGCAGCACGGGAGCAAUCCUGGUGGCGAGUGGCGAACGGGUGAGUAAUACAUCGGAACGUGCCCAGUUGUGGGGGAUAGCCCGGCGAAAGCCGGAUUAAUACCGCAUACGACCUGAGGGUGAAAGCGGGGGAUCGCAAGACCUCGCGCCAUUGGAGCGGCCGAUGUCGGAUUAGCUAGUUGGUGGGGUAAAGGCUCACCAAGGCAACGAUCCGUAGCUGGUCUGAGAGGACGACCAGCCACACUGGGACUGAGACACGGCCCAGACUCCUACGGGAGGCAGCAGUGGGGAAUUUUGGACAAUGGGCGCAAGCCUGAUCCAGCCAUGCCGCGUGCGGGAAGAAGGCCUUCGGGUUGUAAACCGCUUUUGUCAGGGAAGAAACGCUCUGGGCUAAUACCCCGGGGUAAUGACGGUACCUGAAGAAUAAGCACCGGCUAACUACGUGCCAGCCGCCGCCGUAAAAC